rnacentral:rRNA from 1 species
UACGUAGGUGGCAAGCGUUGUCCGGAAUUAUUGGGCGUAAAGCGCGCGCAGGUGGUUCCUUAAGUCUGAUGUGAAAGCCCACGGCUCAACCGUGGAAGGUCAUUGGAAACUGGGGAACUUGAGUACAGAAGAGGAAAGUGGAAUUCCAAGUGUAGCGGUGAAAUGCGUAGAUAUUUGGAGGAACACCAGUGGCGAAGGCGACUUUCUGGUCUGUAACUGACACUGAGGCGCGAAGGUCAGGGGAGCAAACGGG